GUAUAGAAUGUCAGUUUGGAGUGCUAUAAGCACUACUCUAUGUACCUCCCUUGAUUUGGAACUUGGAUAUGGAGACUUGAGAUACUUGGGAUUGUCGGAACCCGGGGCAUUCUUGACGGGAUGUUGCUGUAGACCCUUAAUUGGGUAGUCUGCGCACAUAGGACUGAUCACAGACGUACGGGUUUUGAGGUUAUCGGCUGUACGUUCUGGCUGAGAGUUGGUCCCCU
rnacentral:lncRNA from 1 species